rnacentral:rRNA from 1 species
AACGAACGCUGGCGGCAUGCCUAACACAUGCAAGUCGAACGAGACCUUCGUGUCUAGUUGCUCACGGGUGCGUAACGCGUGGGAACCUGCCCUUAGGUUCGGAAUACCUCCCCUAAAGGGGUGCUAAUACCGGGUAAUUUCCUCUGACAAAGGAUUUGUCGCCUUUGUAUGGGCCGGCGUUGUAUUAGCUUGUUGGUAGUGUAAAAGCCUACCACGGCGACGAUCCAUAGCUGGUCUGAGAGGAUGAUCAGCCACACUGGGACUGAGACACGGUCCAGAAUAUUACGGGAGGGAGGAGUGGGGAAUAUUGGAAAAUGGGGGAAAGGCUGAACCAGCAAGGCCGGGUGAGUGAUGAAGGCCGUAGGGUUGUAAAGCUCGUUUAUCCGGGAUGAUAAUGACAGUACCGGGAGAAUAAGCUCCGGCUAACUCCGUG